rnacentral:sRNA from 1 species
AAAAAUAUAGAAAGAGUGAUGGUUGAAGUUCUUACUUAUGAUAGGUUCAUAUGUUAAAUUAAUUACUAACUAUAUUUUACUUAUUUUAAGAAGUUUAGGUGGUAAGCUCUCAUGUGCUGAUCUGAGUUGUGGGAGAGAGUUGAGCUACUUUCAUAUAUAUGAUUAGGGUAAAACUCUUUUGGU